UGGUUUGGGACUCAAGAUGUGGUCAAAUGUUGUUAAGGUAUGUUCAGCAGUAAAACUUGACCACAUUUUGAGUACCAAACCA
rnacentral:pre_miRNA from 1 species